rnacentral:tRNA from 1 species
CAGAUUAAAGCUUAUUAGAGCUUUUUAUUUACAUUAAAAUGAUAACUGUUUGUUCAGUUUAAUCUGA